AUUGAACGCUGGCGGCAGGCUUAACACAUGCAAGUCGAGCGGGGAGAGGGAGCUUGCUACAUUUCCUAGGGGCGGACGGGUGAGUAAUGCUUAGGAAUCUGCCUAUUAGUGGGGGACAACAUUCCGAAAGGAAUGCUAAUACCGCAUACGCCCUACGGGGGAAAGCAGGGGAUCUUCGGACCUUGCGCUAAUAGAUGAGCCUAAGUCAGAUUAGCUAGUUGGUGGGGUAAAGGCCUACCAAGGCGACGAUCUGUAGCGGGUCUGAGAGGAUGAUCCGCCACACUGGGACUGGGACACGGCCCGGACUCCUACGGGAGGCAGCAGUGGGGAAUAUUGGACAAUGGGCGAAAGCCUGAUCCAGCCAUGCCGCGUGUGUGAAGAAGGCCUUUUGGUUGUAAAGCACUUUAAGCGAGGAGGAGGCUACUUGGAUUAAUACUCUAGGAUAGUGGACGUUGCUCGCGGAAUAAGCACCGGCUAACUCUGUGCCAGCCGCCGCCGUAAUAC
rnacentral:rRNA from 1 species